rnacentral:ncRNA from 1 species
GAAAAGGUUUUGACUGAGAUUCAGUAGAAUGAUCUUUCCCUGUUGAAGAGAGCUGACGGCUGGUGCGAGUCAGUACAAAGAGAUAUUCGAAUUACCCUCACGAACCGCUUUUACGAAAAGGAGCAUGCCCUGAUUAGUGAAAGAACGGAUCUGUCCGUUAUCAGUGUAAGUGAAAAGACGAGAUUUUUUGUCUUUUAAGCAGGGUGGUACCGCGAUAUAUAUCGUCCCUUCG